UACGUGGGGGGCAAGCGUUGUCCGGAAUUAUUGGGCGUAAAGAGCGUGUAGGCGGCCAGAUAAGUCCGCUGUGAAAUCUCGAGGCUCAACUUCGAGCUGUCGGUGGAAACUAUCUGGCUAGAGUCCGGAAGAGGAGAAUGGAAUUCCUGGUGUAGCGGUGAAAUGCGCAGAUAUCAGGAAGAACACCCGUGGCGAAGGCGGUUCUCUGGGACGGUACUGACGCUGAGGCGCGAAAGCUAGGGGAGCAAACGGG
rnacentral:rRNA from 1 species